CCUACGGGAGGCUGCAGUAGGGAAUAUUGCUCAAUGGGGGAAACCCUGAAGCAGCAACGCCGCGUGGAGGAUGAAGGUUUUAGGAUUGUAAACUCCUUUUGUUAGAUAAGAUUAUGACGGUAUCUAACGAAUAAGCACCGGCUAACUCCGUUCCAGCAGCCGCGGUAAUACGGAGGGUGCAAGCGUUACUCGGAAUCACUGGGCGUAAAGAGUGCGUAGGCGGGGUAAUAAGUCAGAUGUGAAAUCCUGUGGCUUAACUACAGAACUGCAUUUGAAACUGUUACUCUGGAGUGUGGGAGAGGUAGGUGGAAUUCUUGGUGUAGGGGUAAAAUCCGUAGAGAUCAAGAGGAAUACUCAUUGCGAAGGCGACCUGCUGGAACAUUACUGACGCUGAUGCACGAAAGCGUGGGGAGCAAACAGGAUUAGAUACCCCGGUAGUC
rnacentral:rRNA from 1 species